AGAAGCAGCAGGCGCGCAAAUUACCCACUCCCGGCACGGGGAGGUAGUGACGAAAAAUAACGAUACGGGACUCAUCCGAGGCCCCGUAAUCGGAAUGAGAACACUUUAAACCCUUUAACGAGUAUCCAUUGGAGGGCAAGUCUGGUGCCAGCAGCCGCGGUAAUUCCAGCUCCAAUAGCGUAUAUUAAAGUUGUUGCGGUUAAAAAGCUCGUAGUUGGACUUGUGUCCCACGCNGUCGGUUCACCGUUNGUCGGUGUUUAACUGGCAUGCCCGUGUGGACGUCCUGCCGGUGGAUGCGGUCGGCCGUGGGCCUCUGGUCUGCGUGUCGGCGGUCCGAUGCAAUCCUACCGCGGUGCUCUUCACCGAGUGUCGAGGUGGGCCGGCACGUUUACUUUGAACAAAUUAGAGUGCUUAAAGCAGGCAGUGGUUCGCCUGAAUAUUGUGUGCAUGGAAUAAUGGAAUAGGACCUCGGUUCUAUUUUGUUGGUUUCCGGAACUUGAGGUAAUGAUUAAUAGGGACAAACGGGGGCAUUCGUAUUGCGACGUUAGAGGUGAAAUUCUUGGAUCGUCGCAAGACGAACCUAAGCGAAAGCAUUUGCCAUGAGUGUUUUCAUUAAUCAAGAACGAAAGUUAGAGGUUCGAAGGCGAUCAGAUACCGCCCUAGUUCUAACCAUAAACGAUGCCAGCUAGCGAUCCGCCGAAGUUCCUCCGAUGACUCGGCGGGCAGCUUCCGGGAAACCAAAGCUUUUGGGUUCCGGGGGAAGUAUGGUUGCAAAGCUGAAACUUAAAGGAAUUGACGGAAGGGCACCACCAGGAGUGGAGCCUGCGGCUUAAUUUGACUCAACACGGGAAACCUCACCAGGCCCGGACACCGGAAGGAUUGACAGAUUGAGAGCUCUUUCUUGAUUCGGUGGGUGGUGGUGCAUGGCCC
rnacentral:rRNA from 1 species